GGCCAGUUAGCUCAGUUAGUAGAGCGUAGCGCUAACAAUGCUAAGGUCGCGGGUUCGGUUCCUGUACAGUCCC
rfam:Apaloderma vittatum contig2895, whole genome shotgun sequence.